CCAAAAACCAAGUCCAUCCAGCUCCUAUAACUGAAGAGCAGAAAGUUCCCCAUGCCUCCCCUGCCUAUAGUCUGGUCUGCAGGGGGAGUCCUGUUGAUGUGAACUGCUGGGGGUGUGACACCCCUCUGUGAGCACUUCCAGGCAGACUUGGCAUCUCCUGGGCACUGUACAGGCUUAUAUCGUUCAGAGAACCGCUCUAGGACAUUCUCAGAAACUGUUACCCCCAAAUCAGAAUGGAAAAGAACACCAAAUCAGGUCCAUAGGUCUCAGAUCUGAGGAAUUAAAGGGCAGAAAAAUUGACAAUGGCUGGCAGAAGACCUCAAAGAGAAAGCACAGAAGGUCACAGAAAGUUCUCAAUAAACUAAAAUAUUGAUGAAGACAGAAGACAACUACUGGGUAUCACCAAGUAUCUGUUUUGUCACAAAAUCACUGUGGUCCUAUCUCUGAAACAUGCUGAGGAUCCUGGACUUUCCACCGUAUGAACAGGUACUUUUACUUUAGGUAGUGGGCUGAAGAUAAACCACAAAAUGAAUGCAGAGACUAAACUGGAUGCUUUGAAGAAUGGGAGUUGAUCAUUGGGUGAUUGAAAGUCUGCAGAGAGAAGCAGCUCUGUGGAAGCUUGAGGGACUAAAAGAAGACAGGAUCAUCUGAUUAUAGCAUCUGGAUGUCCUGAGUAUGACCAGAACCCAUCACAGUCAGUGGCAUACCCCCAUGUGCUGUAAGAGGUUUUUUCUGAGCAAAAGAGCUAACAUUAUACAUGAACAGGACAAUCAAAGUUCAAAAUGAAAGCCUCUUCAGUAAGAUCAUGCUGAAUGACAGGUAACACAGCAGGUUUUGAUUUUACAUAUUGAGAAACCUAAACAGGACUGCAUGAUACUUGGUCACAAAUCUGAUGUUGCCUGUUGCCUUCCUUAGUAACAUAUUAAAACCAACUAAAAAGGCAGGAAAUUUGGUAACAGUAGUAGAAAAAUAAAU